rnacentral:rRNA from 1 species
GACGAACGCUGGCGGCGUGCUCAACACAUGCAAGUCGAACGAUGAAGCUGGAGCUUGCUCCGGUGGAUUAGUGGCGAACGGGUGAGUAACACGUGAGAAAUCUGCCCUUCACUCUGGGAUAACUGCGGGAAACUGUAGCUAAUGCCGGAUACGAGACCUUGGGGCAUCCCAGGGUCUGUAAAGAAUUUCGGUGAAGGGUGAGCUCGCGGCCUAUCAGGUAGUUGGUGAGGUAAUGGCUCACCAAGGCGACGACGGGUAGCCGGCCUGAGAGGGUGGCCGGCCACACUGGGACUGAGACACGGCCCAGACUCCUACGGGAGGCAGCAGUGGGGAAUAUUGCACAAUGGGCGAAAGCCUGAUGCAGCAACGCCGCGUGAGGGAUGAAGGCCUUCGGGUUGUAAACCUCUUUUAGUAGGGAAGAAGCGCAAGUGACGGUACCUACAGAAAAAGCACCGGCUAACUACGUGCCAGCCGCCGCGGUAA